rnacentral:snoRNA from 15 species
UGCUGUUGAUGAUGGUUUUUUAAAUUAAAAAAUGGGAAUCUCUCUGAAAGAGAGUGAAGAUGAAUAUUUAACUGAAACAGUA